rnacentral:rRNA from 1 species
GACGAACGCUGGCGGCGUGCCUAAUACAUGCAAGUAGAACGCUGAAGGAGGAGCUUGCUUCUCUGGAUGAGUUGCGAACGGGUGAGUAACGCGUAGGUAACCUGCCUGGUAGCGGGGGAUAACUAUUGGAAACGAUAGCUAAUACCGCAUAAGAGUAGAUGUUGCAUGACAUUUGCUUAAAAGGUGCAAUUGCAUCACUACCAGAUGGACCUGCGUUGUAUUAGCUAGUUGGUGGGGUAACGGCUCACCAAGGCGACGAUACAUAGCCGACCUGAGAGGGGGAUCGGCCAACCUGGGACUGAGACACGGCCCAGACUCCUACGGGAGGGAGCAGUAGGGAAUCUUCGGCAAUGGACGGAAGUCUGACCGAGCAACGCCGCGUGAGUGAAGAAGGGUUUCGGAUCGUAAAGCUCUGUUGUAAGAGAAGAACGAGUGUGAGAGUGGAAAGUUCACGCUGUGACGGUAUCUUACCAGAAAGGGACGGCUAACUACGUG